GCCAGGCAUGGUGGUGCAUGCCUGUAAUCCCGGCAGAUCAGGAGGCUGAGGCAGGAGGAUCGUGAGUUCAAAGUCAGCCUUAGCAACGGUGAGGCACUAAGCAACUCAGUGAGACCCUGCCUCUA
rnacentral:sRNA from 1 species